rnacentral:rRNA from 1 species
UUGGAGGGCAAGUCUGGUGCCAGCAGCCGCGGUAAUUCCAGCUCCAAUAGCGUAUAUUAAAGUUGUUGCAGUUAAAAAGCUCGUAGUUGAACUUCAGACCUGACCGGGCGGUCCGCCUAACGGGUGUGUACUGUCUGGCCGGGCCUUACCUCUUGGUGAGCCGGCAUGCCCUUCACUGGGUGCGUCGGGGGAACCAGGACCUUUACCUUGAGAAAAUUAGAGUGUUCAAAGCGGGCUUACCGCCGGAAUACAUUAAGCAUGGAAUAAUAAAUAGGACGUGCGGUUA